GGCUUUAUAGUCAACAAUGACAUUAGACUGCAAUUCUAAAGGAGUAAUUUUUACUAAGGCUU
rnacentral:tRNA from 1 species